UACGAAGGGGGCUAGCGUUGCUCGGAAUUACUGGGCGUAAAGGGCGCGUAGGCGGCUUAUCCAGUUGGAGGUGAAAGCCCAGGGCUCAACCUUGGAAUUGCCUUCAAAACUGAUAACCUAGAGGAUGAUAGAGGUAAGUGGAACUCCGAGUGUAGAGGUGAAAUUCGUAGAUAUUCGGAAGAACACCAGUGGCGAAGGCGACUUACUGGAUCAUUACUGACGCUGAGGCUCGAAAGCGUGGGGAGCAAACAGG
rnacentral:rRNA from 1 species